UACAGAGGUCUCAAGCGUUGUUCGGAUUCAUUGGGCGUAAAGGGUGCGUAGGUGGCGCUGUAAGUCGGGUGUGAAAUUUCGGAGCUUAACUCCGAAACUGCAUUCGAUACUGCGGUGCUUGAGGACUGGAGAGGAGACUGGAAUUCAUGGUGUAGCAGUGAAAUGCGCAGAUAUCAGGAAGAACACCCGUGGCUAAGGCGGCUCUCUAGUACGGUACUGACGCUGAGACGCGAAAGCGUGGGGAGCGAACAGG
rnacentral:rRNA from 1 species